rnacentral:misc_RNA from 1 species
UGGGAAGGUUUAUGAUGCGGUUAACUUGUUUACUGCAAUGGUGGAUGCUCAAAUCGAACCAAAUUUAGCCACAUUUAGCGGACUGUUGACUGCAUAUAACCAUGCUGGUUUGGUUGAAGAGGGCUACCAGUGCUUUAACUCCAUGAUGGAACACCAGCUUGUCCCUUUACUUGAUCAUUAUGCAAUCAUGGUUGAUCUUUUAGGGAGGGCAGGAAGAUUACAAGAGGCAUAUGAGCUUAUAGAGAGUAUGCCAAUGCGGCCUUGUGCUGAGGUUUGGGGAGCUUUACUGCUUGCCUGCGAGGUACAUAGCAAUGUUGACUUUGGAGAGAUUGCAGCUAAGCAUUGCUUUGAGUUGGAGCCUACUACAACUGGUUAUUAUUCUCUUCUUGCAAACAUUUAUGCCUCUGUUGGGAGGUGGGAUGAUGCUAGGAAACUAAGAAAGGUGAUUAAAGACAAGAAAUUGGCCAAGAUACCAGGGUGUAGUUGGACAGAAAUAACUUAAUUCUUUCACAUUAGGACAACCAUAUGCGCUCCAAGAGCUUGAACAUCACGGACUUCAACUUGGUUUUGCUUGUAAAAUCUAUACGAAACUUCGAGUUGGCAUGUCUCUUGGCCAGUCACCAGAAAGGCAUAGUGGGACCAAGACUGAGGAUAAAUAUGUCAAGCAGAAAAUGAAUAUAUUCAUUCCCUCUCUCAUUGUCCGAACUCAAAAUGGUUGCAGUGUUCUUAUCAGCGGAUCAUACUCCAUUUUUGGUGCAAAUUCCAUAGUUUGCAUACUUAGUAUGGUGCAAGCACCUGCCAUCAAUACCAGAAAAAUAUAUACAUGUACUAAAGCACUUUUUCACUGAUUUCUUCUUAUCAGAAGCUUGUAACCUGCAUCCCAUAACUAAUAUUUACAUUCUAUUUAUUUGUGAAGU